rnacentral:antisense_RNA from 1 species
GUCGCGGUGAACUCCCAGACGCGCUCGUGCUCGGUGAGCCCCUCGUCGCCGAAGUGGUCGCCGUCGGCGAGGACGCCGAGCACCGCCGGCUCGCCGAACUUGCCGGUGCCCACCUUGUUGAUCCUGCCGUGCGCCACCAGGAAGACCUGGUCGACCGGGCGGCCGAGUUCGGUCAGCGGCUGCCCCGGGGCGAACUCCCGCUGCUCGAACCGCUCGGCCAGCGCGGCGAGAACCGCCGGGUCGUGGAAAUCGCGCAGCACCGGCAGCUCACCCAGUUCGUCCGGGAUCACCCGCACCUCGGAACCGGUCUGCACGAAUUCCACCCGGCCGUUGCCCACGGUGUACGUCAACCGCCGGUUGACCCGGUACGUACCGCCGGAAACCUGCACCCACGGCAGAAUACGCAGCAGCCACCGGGAGGUGAUGCCCUGCAUCUGCGGAGCGGUCUUGGUGGUGGUCGCCAGAUUACGCGCGGCGGCCGUGCUCAGCGAAAGCUGCGGCUGCCCG